AAGAAUGAAGUCUAAAAGGGUUAUUUGAGAUUAUUUCAGACGUUGACCAAGAAAAGCCUAAGAGAUAAUGGUGAAAAAAGAAGAGAGGCAGAAACUUGAUGCAGAUCUUCAUCGGGCAAGGGGUCAGACAGAAUAUAAAGUUCUGGGUCUUCUGCAAGAACAAAAGGAGAUGAGGUAAAGCUAUAUACAGUAAAUGGGUAUAGGUAGAUUUACAUGUGAAAUUCUUGUUGUGGAUUGCUUUUCUGCCUUUCAACACAAAGCUUCAGAUAUUGAACAAGUAUCUUUGUAAUUGCUUUGCUUAUGGUGGUGAAAUUUUUGGUUACUUGCCACAGGGUUUCCCACUUAUAAAUCUUUGGUGUGCUUCGACUUUUCUGCUGAUAUGUUGUUUUGGGGUCGACUGAUUUGGUUGGAUCUGUCAGUAAUCUGUAAAUCUUGUGCUGAUUUAUUUUAGGGGUAUGAUUGUGUUGGAAUUUCAGUUUUGAGGUGGUUCGAUAGAACCCAACAGGAUACUGCUCCCAAAUGCAGUUUUCUCAAUACCAGAUGAAAAUGUUAAAUCUGCAAAGAAAUUAUGGUGUGUUGAAUCUCUUGGCCAACUAUCUUCAAUAUCCUUGAUGGGAAAUCCAAUUUGUUUAGAAGCUAUAUAUCAUGAAAUUUGUUUCUUGAAUUGGCCUCCCAUUAAAGUUUAUUGAAAAUUUCUUGACCCGAUCUAAAUUUGGUGCUAUAUGCACUUGGAGGGUUCAUGGCAACAACUAUUCAUGCUACAUUUGACUGGAAUUUGAGUACGAGAAUCACAUCUAAUACAAUUCUGUUCAGUGUUAUUCUUAUGUCGGAUGUGCAUUAAUGUUAUUCUUUUUAAGUUGUUUCAUGUAUUUGGAUUCUAUAUGUAUAUAUUAGGAAAAGAAAUAAUUAGAGCUAAAUAGAAAUGUACUUUCAAAUGCUCUUGGUUUUGUUAAUGAUAGUUGUUGACACUAUUUUUUUGAUAAAAUGAGGUCAACUUAGAUUUUGAAAACAAAAACGAAUAUGGGAGUCGCAACCAAUCUUUUUUUUGAUGAGAUGUAAUCGGGUCACCUCGUAAAAGUGG
rnacentral:lncRNA from 1 species